GAUGAAGAGCUAUCUCUUCAUGGCACCCCAACUAGGGUCGAGACACCCUCUUGUAGAGGAGACAUUGCCAGUCCGGCAUCAAUCAGAUCCUGGACGAUCCCACGUAUCACCACCGAGUUAAGGAGGCGACAAAUCCCCUACCCUGACACAGUAAGGAAAGCGCAGCUAUUCAAACUCCUAAACACAACAAUCGACAACACGGAAGCAGGGGAAGGUCCCAGCAACACUAAUUCAGGUGAUAUCCAGGCUAUGCUGGCAUCACUCAUGACCUCUAUGGGCAAGGUCAAUGACAGACUGGCUAACCUCGAGGCGGUCACCACAGCCCUCACCAAGGCUGGUCUUCCUGAUACUGCUCAACAGGCACCAACUGAACCACAGGCCGCGGGUAUGGUUAUCUCCUCAGAUUAUCAGGAUGUUGACCCUGCAUACACUAUCUCAUCCCACAUUAAGAGGGACAUCCUGGAAGGCAAAUAUGUCAACCUUGCAUCCCUACUAAUUGCCUCUCAGGAUGUGGUGGAGAACAAAACCUAUAUGUACGAUGAAGUUUCUGUAGUGGUCAGAUCCAAAGACGCAAGGUUAAACCGUAAACUGAC